rnacentral:lncRNA from 1 species
CACAUUCAAUCUUCGGAAGAUAUAUAAAAAACAUAAAUAUAGAUAGAUUAUCUUUCCAUUAGGUUGAGCGAUCUGAUCUGGCAAAUGUUUUAAAUACUACACUCAUGAUCUUAUUAUCCAUCAAAUUUGUCUUGCUCACUAUGCUUAAGGUUAGAGAAGAACAAAUACACUUUUGGUUCUGUUGGUGUUUUCCACCAACAGGGCCCAUGCACUUGAUCUCUGCCUUGUCUCUAUGAGCAGGAACACUUGGAGCAAAACAUGGUGGAGUUUUACAACUCCCAGAUUCCACCAAGUGAAAGACCUGGAUCUACGAGCACAAACACACUGAGCAGGAUGCUGCCAAUGCUGAACUUCGAACUACUGGGCAAACGAAGAACAUGGGUGACACCGUAUCAAGAGGUGCAGAUGUCAAGGUCCACACCUGAAUCAAAUGACGCACCUAAAGAAUGAACACGGUGAGAAGUCUUGUUCAGAAGACUUAAAACAUUGAACCCUCGCCGAAAGGUAAAAUCGGUAGUUAUCCAUAUUUAUCCUUUCUGCAUUCCUUUUUCCCUUAAAUUAUUGACUUUGCUUAAUAGCUUGUCAGUUAAUCAUGCUAUCUUGAAAAGAAAUUAAAUAUGUUAAAAAUAGUAAGCCCCAUGUGAGUAUGCUCGUGGCAUAAAACCCAUAAGUACAUUCACUGUGGUGGCGUAAAAAUAAAAAUAUUCAUGUCCUAUAAAAAUGAAAAUAUAAAAAUAAAUUUAUGAUCCUACCAAAGAGAGUAAUAUUUAUUAGUGGAAGCUCAACAUGAUAAAGGCUAAGAGAUUUUAUGCUAACACUUAACUAGUUUCACAAAGCUUUGUUGUCUAUUUGAGCUCCACAGAAUUCAAGGAUCAAAGAAGACUAGCAGACGGAGGACAUCCUAAUUGCUAUCAGGGCGCUACCAACAUUCAAAUACACCUCUGCCACAUGCUAGCUACAUCAAAAUCCAGCUUGGGGGAGAGCACCCCCAUUUAUCCAGCUAAGUGUUUCUACUCGCUUUUAUACUUUACUCAAAUAAUAAAAAGAUGCAUAAUCAUUAAAACCCAAAUAAAGAUUUUGUGCUUAUAUAUAUAUAUAUUUGCUUAGUUUAUUAAAUAAAUAAAUAAAUAAAGUAUCUAUGCCAAAGUGAACUCCAAUGAUAAACUCUUACAUGGAUAUGAUGAAUAGUUGCUCUGCCAAGUACCUAUUUUUCAAAUUUAAGCUCUCUCUCAAGUUUAGGCAUAACUGUUAUAAUUUAAAGCUUGCUCUAAACAUAAACUUGUGGGAAGAGUACCUGAUCAAAAUUCUAAGUUGUUAACGGAUAUGAUAUGGGAAGGUUGAUCUGCUGUUUAUCUGUUCUUAGAGAUACUAGAAUUAUGGAGAAUUUUAUCUUUGAAAAUCUUUCAAAUGUUGCAUGAUGAGUUUCUGUAUGAUGAGAGUUUAAAAUCCUACCACAACCAUAUAUACAUGCUUAUUAGACUAUGAAACAUACAUUUACUUUUUACUGCUUAUGAGCAUUGAGUGUGGCCAAGAUGUGUAGACCCUUAGGAGCUUGUCAUGCAGUUAAAAUCAAGAUUCACUUGCACGUUCACUCAUACAUGCUGCUUCUACUCCGGAAGUACGCAUCCACAUACAUCCACUCAUUUCCAUCUCUAGAUUCACCCAAAAUUAUUCUACUCCUAUCCAGGAGAGAAUAGCCAAAAACGUUAUCCUAUCCCUGUUAUUCCCCGUGAAAUAAAUGCUCGAGAUAUUUUGGUUACUACCACUUGCUAUAUUAUUUCAGGAGAUGAGUGCUCUAAAAAAAAGAGAGAAAAAAAGAGAAAGGAUACGAGGAAAUAAAAAGGGGCAAGUGACCGGAACCUCGAAAGAAAAGAAAAAGUGAGACGAGAGGUAAAAAUGGACAAGUGUCCGACAGUAGAAUUAGGGGUACAAGAUACCCACCUGAGAGAAAAAAAUAAUAAUAAUAUAGAGCAUCUCAAUCUCCUCAAAAAGCUUCCAAGUGCAAGAAAGGUAUGUAUCCUCUCAAAAGAGCAAAAGUAGAAUUAGACUUUCACCAUUGUUUUCACCAUCAUCACCAUACACCAUUUAUUCGUCACACAUGCACAUCUUGAUAUUGACUUAUUGACUUGUUUCUCUGGAUCCAUGGUUUGACUAUGCAAUAAAUGUCUUGUAAGUAUGUAUUAGCUGUCUCCCACCUAUGAGCUCCAGAUAUCAAAACCUUAUUAGAGUAGGGUGAGAGAGAAGGCAAUGUCACUAUGCCUCAUACCAAAAAUACCACAUACUUUGAGAGAAGGCAUAUAUCAUUACUGCCUUGGUGAGGAUCCAGAAAUACCACAAAAGAGAGAAUUGAGAGAGUCAUACAAGGAAUCUCUGAGUUUUAUUUUGAAAAUCUACAAAAACUCUAGAGCUAUAGUUGAUCAAAGAACAAGAGACAUGGCACUUGACUUGACCAUUCUAUCUUUUAACUGCUCGAGAUAUAAGUGACGGUUGCAAGCCCCAUGGUGAAAGGUAAAAUGAGUAAGUUUUAGGUCUUAAUAGUUUACCCUAACCCAGAGAUGGGAUCUUGUUUGAACGCAUGUGUACCUUUAAGGCAUGAAACCACUGCAGAAACUCUUGAGUCCAUCCUUGCUCAGGGACGAGCAAGAGGUAAGCUUGGGGGAGUUUGUUGAUGCUCCUUAAGUAUCAAAUUUAAUCAUCAAAUAAAUAAAGAAAAGGAUCCAAAUGCAACUGACACCCAGACUUAGGGUUUUAUCUAACAGAAUUCCAUGAGUUUUGGUGUUUGUCUAUUUCUGUAGGGGGUUAUCAGGAAAUAUGGAGGAAAGGCCCACAUGUCGGGUUUACAUAGAGAUAUUAACGUGCAGCGCAAUUUUCUAUCAUCUAGAAGACUCCAGAAGCCACGGGAACGAACGGGAAGCCGAGCAGGCUCGGGGAUAGGGCGCCCGCCCUGCUACAGGAGCCAAUCAGGCUCCGCCUUGUGGAUUAUGCUCCACCGACCUAAAGGAUC